rnacentral:rRNA from 1 species
AUUGAACGCUGGCGGCAGGCCUAACACAUGCAAGUCGAGCGAGCGGUGGACGGGUGAGUAAUGUCUGGGAAACUGUCUGAUGGAGGGGGAGAACAACUGGAAACGGUAGCUAAUACCCCAUACCAUCAGAUGUGCCCACAUGGGAUGAGCUAGUAGGUGGGGUAACGUCUCACCUAGGCGACGAUCUCUAGCUGGUCUGAGAGGAUGACCAGCCACACUGGAACUGAGACACGGUCCAGACUCCUACUGGAGGCAGCAGUGGGGAAUAUUGCACAAUGGGCGCAAGCCUGAUGCAGCCAUGCCGCGUGUAUGAAGAAGGCCUUCGGGUUGUAAAGCACUUUCAGCGGGGAGGCGUUACCCGCAGAAGAAGCACCGGCUAACUCCGUGCCAGCAGCCGCGGUAAUUC